CAUAGUAGUGCUCUGUUUCACUCUAAAAGCACAGCCCUAUCUGAAAUUCACUGCAUCUGAUGAAAGUCCUUCCACUAGCCUCAGAAGGCCUUACCUGAGGCUCAUAAUCUAUGCAUUAACUCAGCUGCAAACAUCUGAGGUAGCUUAUCUAAAGAAAAAGGAUUUCGAAGUCCUUCUUGAAGUGUCGUCUGGGUUUCAUCAUCUCCCUGAUAAUAUCUGCUUCUAGACUUCCAUUGUUUGAGCGACUGCAUAAUCCUACUAGAUGGAACAGACGUGACAUGAAGAUUAGCAGCCACAAGGAGGUGGAGUUAAGAAGUAACAGCUGUGUAGAGUUCUGCAAAAACCCCAGAAGAAAAGCAGACAUGAAGGAGCUGUCCCACAACAAGUUCAGCCAAAUCAUGCAGCAAGCAGAGGGAAUAUUACAGUGUCUCAAAAAGCCUUGACCACAACUGCUGCUUAAAAACAACCUCCAAGAGGAAGAAGGUGAUGGCAACCCCCUCCUGCCCUUUGAGGCUCUAUUGGCAGGAACAACUACAGCCGGAUGCAAAAGAACAAGGAGCUGGAUUGAUCCUUCUGUUCUGGCAAGCUGAAUGCCAAGAGAGGGUCUUCAAGAGGGGGAGAAAUGGUUCUUGCCCUGCACCAAGCAACAGACGUCAAGAGCAAGAAGAUCUUUCCUCUCUUUCCUAUCUAGACUACAUGCCAUCGCCACUUCAUCACAUACCCUUAUCAGUUUGCGUACAUCAGUGGACAAACGUAGUCCUUUUCACAAGGCUGUCAUCUGGUCUUCCGUUUUCACUAUAAUUAAUCACAGAUGCAAUGGUGCUACCUGACAGAGCAGAUUUUUUUUUUUAAUUAGAGAGCAUGAACUAUAAAUAGUACUCAAGAAAACACUACCAACACAUAGCUAUAGCUCUGUUAAUGAUCUUUAACUAUAUUAUGCACAGCUGUGAUACUGAAAAAGAGACAAAAGGAAAAUUGGCCUUAAAAGGGAGUCACUCUAACUACAAUGAAGACUAGAAACUGUCAGUAUCUCAGCAUUGGAAUAACCUUGAAUAGCCUUGAACAGCCUUGAGCAACCCUUAAACAGCCCAAGCCAGGCAUAGGGUUAAGGUUAAAGGUAGGGUUACUGUAACAUUAAGGGUUGGGAGUGUCAGGACAAAGCCUAAAGCUCCACUUGGUCAGGGGCUGCCAAGUAGCUGCCAAGGCAACACGUACACUGAAAAAAAGAUUUAUCCCCUAACAACUUUUUCAGUGGAUGCAGGUCUUUGGCUAUAGAUAAGCUGAAGUAAGAUUCUGGGAUAGGGUGAGGGGAAGAACAAAGCCUAGAGCUCCAGUUAGCAUGGGACUGCCAAGAGGCUGCCAGAGGAAGGAGCAGGCAGCAAAAAGAUUUCUUCUCUGGCUCUAAUUUGAAUACAGCAGGAAAUUCAAAGAGCACUUAAGGUUAAAUAAAUUCUUCCUGGAAGAAAAAUAGGGAUUAAAGAGAAAUGGGGGGAAUCAUGGUGGUAGGGAAAUUAUUGGAAAAGGUGUGGGGGAAGAGGAAGAGGCCAAGGGCUCAAGGUAAAGGGAAGGGAGAGUGAUGAGAGUGGGGGUAAGAUACAGGAUAUCCACCAGAGCCACUGUUGCUUCUCAUCUAAAUAUGCAGCAGUAAAGAUGCCAGAAAGUAAGAGUCUUGAGCUGAUGGUUAGUGGGUCUGGAGUGCAAGUGGCUCAGUGGGACAACAAAGGGAGCUCACAUACUGGGACUCAUGUCUGGUGCUUGUCUGAGGUGGGAUGGAGACUGAAGUAAAGUAAACUUCUCAUAGGUUUGCAGUUAUUUAUUUGAGCCACCAGGUAAUAACAGUGCCAAGCUUCCAUGGCAGACCACUAGUCUAGGACUUCUUUAUAGGAAAUUGUACGCUCUAAACAUUUCAAAGGCUGGGCAUGACCACUAUUAAAAUGUGUUAGGAAUCACAUAGCAUCAUGAUCUUCACUAUGCCACUGUAGUAUCUCAGGCACGCUUCUACAUAACAACAGCAACUGCCUAAAUGAUCUUAGGCAACAGGGAAAAAAAUGCAAUUCUUAGCAAACCCUCUGGAAAAACGGUAAGAAAAACCUUUGUAUUAACAAGUGGUGAGCUCAGUUCCCUUUGAAGAGGUCUUCUGUGAAACUCAUUCUGAGAGGCUGGGCACAAAGAAUUAAUUAAGUUACUCACACACUAGCUUUUCCAAAAAAAGAGUCCCACAACCUUAACCCUGCUCUCUUUGAGCAGACCUCCCUGUGCCCACAGCUGUACCCUGCUUUUGACCCACCCUGAACAGAAAUCACCUACGCCAAGGGCCAGCCCCAGACUGAGCCCACUCCGUGGGCUGGGGGGACCGAGAGAAAAAUCACCCACUGUUCAAGUUCAAACCCAGUUUGUUUUAUCUGAAAGCUGUCACAUACUCAUCACUGAUCUCCUAGAUCACUCUCAUCUAGCAUUUCAUCAACAGCAAUCUCAGCAGCGAUGCCAUCAGGUCUGCCAUAGACAGCUUGUACAGCAUGGAUCACCAACAGCACAAGUGUCGCAAGCGGUCUCGCAGCUCUGACAACUGAGCUUGCGGAGAGAUGAGGCCCGGGAGCAGCCCUGCCGUGCUGCUCAGCUGCUUCCUCAAGUGCUUAGGAAAACCACUCUCAUGAAUAAAGCUAAAGUGCUGCAGGGAGUUCCCAACAGCUAUAACCAUCUACAGAGGGUCAGAGACAGCACUGCAUGGGCUUGUACCUUAAUUUGAUGCUUCCUGAUUUAUCACUGUGAGGUUGGUGCUCUGGAAGAUGUUCAUAACUCAGCAUUAGUAGGGGCUCAUGCUAGGGAGGGAAGAGGUGGGCGCAAAGAGAUUGUUUCAUUUUGUGAUCUGUUUUUCAUUAAAAACACAGUUUAGUACACAGUGAGAUUUGCUAGUAGUCCCAUCAUGUGCUUACUGUUCUGCAUGCAUUUAAAUGCCUUGUUGGAUCAAGGCCACAUGGAAAACAUUUACUGGGACAGAAGAAGACAGAGAAAAAGUACAUGAUCAAGACACAAUGCCUUUGAUGCUUGUGGCAUUAGCAUCACGAAUCUGUUUCAGAGCAACAAAGACCCCUGCUUUCCUCAAAACCACACAGAACGGUUGCUAGCCGAGCCAGAUUCGUGAUGCAUCAGUUUGCAGGACAGCACAGCACUGAGACUGGGCGCAAGCUCUUUCAAGGUCCGUUGCAAUCUCAGCCACGUUACAGGAUCGGCACGUGCAAAACCAAAAUACCAGUUUUUAGAGGCAGAAACGCAAAGCUAACUGGAACUAAACUAACUUGUUUAUGUCCUCACUCAAAAACAUGACAUUCAAGCCCUAUUCAGAAUUAGCCCCACAAUAUCAAGCAAAGUUAUUAGCUCACAUCAAAGUUGGCCUCACUUCAGGAAAAUUUCUUUUGCCUUUGUAAACACAGCUGAGUCUCCUUUUUUCUCCUUCCUAUUGGCAACAUACUGCAGUGCUGCUAAAUAAAGAUAUCUAAACAAUC